GACGAACGCUGGCGGCGUGCCUAAUACAUGCAAGUAGGACGCACUUGUGAAUGGGUGAGUAACGCGUGGGUAACUACCUAUUAGAGGGGGAGAAAUAGUGGAAACGAUAGCUAAUACCGCAUACUAGGAGAUGGACCUGCGUUGUAUUAGCUAGUAGGUAGGGUAAUGGUCUACCUAGGGAACGAUACAUAGCCUACGUGAGAGGGUUGACGGCCAACAUGGGACUGAGACACGGCCCAGACUCCUACGGGAGGCCGCAGUAGGGAAUCUUCGGCAAUGGGGGGAACCCUUGACGAGCCACGCCGCGGGAGAGAAGAAGGUUUUCGGAUCGUAAAGCUCUGUUGUGCAGGAAGCGGUACUUAACCAGAAAGGGACGGCUAACUACGUGCCAGCAGCCGCGGUAAUUC
rnacentral:rRNA from 1 species